rnacentral:rRNA from 1 species
GAACAGAUAAGGAGCUUGCUCCUUUGACGUUAGCGGCGGACGGGUGAGUAACACGUGGGUAACCUACCUAUAAGACUGGAAUAACUCCGGGAAACCGGGGCUAAUGCCGGAUAACAUGUUGAACCGCAUGGUUCUACAGUGAAAGACGGUCUUGCUGUCACUUAUAGAUGGACCCGCGCCGUAUUAGCUAGUUGGUGGGGUAACGGCCUACCAAGGCGACGAUACGUAGCCGACCUGAGAGGGUGAUCGGCCACACUGGAACUGAGACACGGUCCAGACUCCUACGGGAGGCAGCAGUAGGGAAUCUUCCGCAAUGGGCGAAAGCCUGACGGAGCAACGCCGCGUGAGUGAUGAAGGUCUUCGGAUCGUAAAGCUCUGUUGUUAGGGAAGAACAAAUGUGUAAGUAACUGUGCACAUCUUGACGGUACCUAACCAGAAAGCCACGGCUAACUACGUGCCAGCAGCCGCGGUAAUACGUAGGUGGCAAGCGUUAUCCGGAAUUAUUGGGCGUAAAGCGCGCGUAGGCGGUUUUU